rnacentral:misc_RNA from 1 species
UGAAAAGCAUGAGAACACUGGGCUGUAAAUAUAGCGUGGCCUGGGUUGUUCCCUGUGCUGUAAGUCAGAGCUUCCAGGCAUAUUGCGCACAAGUUCUGCUGCACCAAAUGAACAAGCAUAAAGUUGGUUAGAUACCCAAUUCAUACAUCUCCAUCCAUUUGCUAAAAUGUGAAUGUAUCAGACAACAAUUGGGACAGUUCUACGAUUGCCCUGUUGAGCUUCAAGAGAGGAAAAUAAAGUGGAGAUGUAUAUUCUUAAUUAAACACGCAGCCAAAAAUAAAAUCAAUUCGUACAUCUACAUCCAUUUGCUGCCCUUGAUGUGAUUAUACUGUGCAGUCAUCUAGAUCUAUCCGGUAUGUUAUUAUUGUUAGAUAGUAAAUUACUAAUAGCAGUAUAAUGAUUAUUACUUCCUAAAAAGAAAAAAAAAAAAUUGACUUGCAGAAAAACAAGUGGGCCAAAUAUUUGACAAUUAAGUUUAUUAUGAUUGAACAUUAUCAUUAAAAAUGCUGUUGAUUUUAAAAUGAGAUCUCUAAAGAUGGGAUAAACUGAAAUUAAAAUAGUAGGAAGGGGCGGCACAACAGUGACAAGAAAUCAUGUGAUCAUAAUGCCUGGUGGGUAGAUGGGACCUUGAAGUCGUGAUGGGAAUUUGGAAUGUGCUAUAACAUUCUUAAGAGUACACAUGAAUUGCAAUUGCUGAACCUACUUCAAGUUUCUGGUGUUUGUAUGGAAAUUUGAAUUUGAAUUAACAGAUGAAUGCCUAAUAUUUGAAAUGGAAAUGGACAAAAGGUGCAAAAGCGGACAAAUAAACAUGAGAGAGUUCCGAGUUGAGGAACAUUGGAUUCCACAACGGCUUUGCCUAUGAAUGCUUCCAACGGAGGAUUGAGAUGAAUUUAGCUCUGAAAAACGAAGCCAGCCUACCUUAGAAGCCAGUGUGUGGUCAUUGUUGAUGGUGGUGGAUUCUGCUUCCUCUGAGCUCUUCUUUGGUUUUGCAGGAGACAUUGCUGUAGAAUCAGACCCCUGUUAAUUAUGAUUAGUUUAGUACUCUUUUAAUUAAUUUUCGUACAAAAUUACGGGAAUGGAUUGUGUAAGAAAUUAAGAGUGGCUUUAUCAUUAAUCAAUUCCAUAAUCUUUCCGGGGGGAUAAAGAAAUUUCUUAAAGAAAGAAAAAGAGAAGAAAAAAGGGGGAACGGGGAGGGAAUGAGAGUAAAGCUGGCAUAUUGCCUCAUUUAUGAUUGAUUGAUUCUCUAAAGAAAUUUUCAGUAAGAAUUGUUAAGAGAUAGAGGAAAUAACUAGAAAAGGGACUGUAUUAAGAAAUCAAGAAAAUAAUUAAGAAGCAGUGGUGUGUUAUUUUGAAUCUUGAUACAGAAAACAAAAAGAUGAGAAAGAAAGACACCUACAUUGACAGAAGAGUCGAUGGAAAGGGGAUCCACAAGAGCAGAUGGCUUUCUCGAGGAGAAGGAGGCACAUGCAGCAACCACCAUUUUCCUGGCCACCCUUUUCAGUUUUGAGGAAGCUCCUCCCACUCCCAUAUCUGGAGCCUCUUCUAAUCCUGAGAAAUAAUAUUAGGAAUGAACAAGGCAAGAGAAAGAGAGUGGCAUAUAUAAGUAGCAGAAGAAAAGUGCAGACAAGGGCAGGCUCUGCCAGAUUCAGCAAUUUCUUCAGCACCUGCCUUCGCUUUUUUUUAUUCUUCCUCUUCUUUCACAUUUAUAUUUGUUUCACUUUCAUUCACCCCCAAAACAAACAACCAUACAAUAUACAUAUAUUUAUAAUGCCUCCAUCUCCAAAACUGCUUUUUGGUUUUUACUGCUCUCUUUCUUUUCUUUUCUUUUCUUUUCCUUUCCUCUCCUUUUCCUUGUUAUGUACUUUCUUUCUUUCUCUCAAUUUCCUCUCAUGGGUUUUAGGUCAUUGUAAGUGCAAAAUUCUUGUUUCCUUUGCAGUGCAGAUGAUCUUGAAGCACGUGCACACUCAAAUUUCCAUCACAACAGGUUCCAAUUAUAUAAAAACUAACACUACAAUCAAUUCUUCUCUCUCUUUCUUUCUCUAUCGGUCUCUCUCUAUUUCUAUAUAUAUAUAAAAGCCACACCCGUCCCCAUAUCCUACUCCCUUUCCCUCUUUC